rnacentral:rRNA from 1 species
GCAACUCGCCUGCAUGAAGCUGGAAUUGCUAGUAAUCGUGGAUCAGCAUGCCACGGUGAAUACGUUCCCGGGCCUUGUACACACCGCCCGUCACACCAUGAGAGUCGGGAACACCCGAAGUCCGUAGUCUAACCGCAAGGAGGGCGCGGCCGAAGGUGGGUCUGAUAAUUGGGGUGAAGUCGUAACAAGGUACC